AGAAGGACUGACGACAUAGUUGAGACAGUUGUUGAGUGAAGUACUCAUAUUCUAUGAAUUUGCUAUUUUCCCUUCAUUGAUUUGUUAACUGUUGUUUUUGUUUUAUGACGUCAGAAAUAAUACGGAGUAAAAGGACUACAGUCAGUAGCUGACUCAACUCUCUUUCUAGUCCUUCUUAAAAAAUUUUAGUCGUUCUCUCUAUUUUGUAAUCUUUGUAUAGUGUAGAAAACAAAAAUAUAGGGUGACAAGGCAUGCGAAAGACUGUUUCAUUGCCUUCAGCGGUUCACUUUGGCAUGCUUAAAGCUUUAAAUGAAGUAGCAAAAAGAGGACCCAGCUCAAAAAUGUAUUGGUGCACAUAGACUUUUUUUGUUCGCUAGAAGAGAAUAUGCUCAUUCGAAGUUCGGAAGACUGACUUAGCUUAACUAGAGAAGAAUAUGGAGUUUUGUUAACCCAAUUAUUUGUUUAUUCUAGUUCAAAGAUUAUGUUGUUUAUUUGUAUUAUUUUUUUUAUAUAUCAUUAAUGUAAAAAUAUAUAUUUUA
rnacentral:lncRNA from 1 species